AGAGCGAACGCUGGCGGCAGGCCUAACACAUGCAAGUCGAACGGACUCUUCGGAGUUAGUGGCGGACGGGUGAGUAACACGUGGGAACGUGCCUUUUGGUUCGGAAUAGCUCCUGGAAACGGGUGGUAAUGCCGAAUGUGCCCUUCGGGGGAAAGAUUUAUCGCCAUUAGAGCGGCCCGCGUCUGAUUAGCUAGUUGGUGGGGUAAUGGCUCACCAAGGCGACGAUCCGUAACUGGUCUGAGAGGAUGAUCAGUCACACUGGAACUGAGACACGGUCCAGACUCCUACGGGAGGCAGCAGUGGGGAAUAUUGGACAAUGGGCGAAAGCCUGAUCCAGCCAUGCGCGUGUGUGAAGAA
rnacentral:rRNA from 1 species